CUCCAUAGUUAGUACAGAGCCCUGUCUGGAGGAAGACAACUGCGGGUCAGAUCAGGGGGUACCCCUAGACAAUGUGAAAGCACCUUGGGGAGCGCAAGUCUUUGGAUGGUGCAAAUAAGUCAUGACUGAGUUUUUUCUUCCAAGUCGGAGUAGUAGUCUUAUUUUUCUAUCCCCAUUUUACAGGUGGGGACAGUGAAGCAUCAAGUAACAGCUAAUCUUCUGCCUAGUGUGGACCAGAGGGAAAAUGGGGGCUGGAUUGCCAGUCCCUGGCUUUGUGUUUUGCUGACAGGUGUCAGGCCUCAGGGGAGGAUGGCAAUUUCUGCUCAUGCCCACAAGCUCUUCCCUUUCCAAAGGGAACCAAUGCAGAGGAUGGGCUUCAGGAAGAUACCACCCAGGAUCAGAUCCGCUGGUGGGAGGUGCCCCCUCCCUGUGCUCAAACCACAGGCGUGAGCAGAGCUGUGCCCACAGGGCGGCCAGGAUCAGCACCAAGGCCUUUCAGCGUCUGCUCAGUGCGGGGCCGGCCUGAAGGUACUUUCAAACGCUCUGUCUUAAAUUCUUAUGCCAUUCUGCCGGAAUAGGGUUAUGACCCUCCUUUUUACAGAGAGAGAGAUGGAGGCCCAGACCCAUUAGGAGACACCAAAGCUGAGGGAGGCCUGGCUAGGAACUCAAAGCUUCUCCUCCCAAGGUCAGGGCUCUUCCAAAGCACCCAGUGACCAGAACCCAACUCCCCUUAGUCCUACACAAAUACUAGUCUAGACAGGUGACCUGCCCAGACGACCCGCUCCUUGGUAGCUCGCUUGAUGCCAAUGUCUUCACAGGGAAUAAAAGUGAGCUCGAGCUUUUACUCGCCAAGCAGUUCUGUGCACACAUACAAGCCACAGUGUCUUAAUAUUUAUCCUGUUCUCUGAGAAUGCCCCUUCUACACCAUACAUCUAGGACUGUCCCAGUGCAUGCAUAAAAAUCCACAUUUACAUAAAUUACAAACUAUGGGUUAAUUAUUCACCUAAUACUGACUAAAGAUUCACUACAAAAUUCACUUAAAUGCCAAGCCCCUCUAUAGUCAUUUAUUACAACUCAGUUUUUAAUACAUUUCAUGAAUACACAUGUUCCAUAAAGCAAAAUACACACACUCGGUCUGUAUGUUACGCCAGUUUUAACCUGUGACGUUUAAUGCCUGUCUCUGGGAGGACGAGAUCAGUCUCUCUACCAGUUCAUCUAGAAUUGGCCAACUUUGUCGUCACAGCCCAGCCACUGAGUCCUCUCUUCUAAGGUUCGAUCCAGGAAGCAGGGGAUUUGAAGGGUAUGGGUGCAAUUUCCGUCACAUUACAAGAGCUUUCAGAGUCAACACUUUGGAGCUCAGACUCUUAGAGAUUUCAGUGGCCCGCCUCCCCUAGAAGUUAAUGAUCUGUAAGAGAAAGGGCCAUAUGAGGAUACAGUGACAAAGCAGCCAUCUGCAAGCCAAGCAGACAACCCAAUCUGCUGACACCCUGAUCUGUACUACCAGCUCCUAGAACAAUGAGAAAUAUAUUUCUGUUUUUUAAGCUCCCCAGUGUGUGGUAUUUUGUUAUGGGAGCCCUAGCAGACCAAGACAGUUUACCCAAUUUGUUUAUCCAUUCUC